GGCGGAACCUCGGCGGGCGAGGCGGGGCCGGCGCCUCCGAGACCCCGGGGAGGGGAAGGGCUCGGCCCGGAGCCGCCUGCCGAGCGGGAGGUGGCCGGGGCAGACCGGGGCUGGCCCCGGCGCCGCCAAGUUCUGACAUUUUUGGAGAACAAAGCACAUGCCAGGAUCCGGCAUGGUGUCAGAAUGUGCCCAGGUGAAUGAGAAAAAUGAGAGCACCGGCAGCGCAGUUCCUGUCUCCUGCUGCUGAGGGGGAAUUGACAGACAAGUCCCACUCCUGAGGAUGUGAUGUCUUGGGUGUCCAUGUCCUGCUGCUCACUCCAUCAUGCAGAAGUGACUCCACCAUUCUGCUUUUCCAGCUCUGCCUGCUCUCAGCAAAACACAACUGCAGCAGGAGCAGCCUCCCCAGGCAGACAUGUCUCAGCCCUCAGGAAACCUCAAACCCUGUUUCCUCAUCUCACAGUAGCUACCUCCAUGUCUUUAUUAAUCUGAAUAAAUUUGGUGAGGUCCACGCUGACAACAGGAUGAUACCAGCUGGGAUCUACCUUUCUGAUCUGAAAAUAUGAGGAUUACUCACAUGUCUAAAAAUAAGCCAUGCUGAAAUUCCCUUGUUGGAUUAAGAUCUAAACCCUGCAAUUGUCACUUUUCCCACCAGUGUCAGUGGCUUAACUAAAUAUACUGUCCACAUUGCUGCCUGAUAUUCCCAGAUUGUUUCUCUUUCCCCUUUCACUGGAACUUCCCCAUGUUUCUGUGAGUUUAUUUUACUUUUUGGUUGGUUGCUUGUUCUUUUCACCAAUUCAUCAUCUUUCCUGCUACAUUCCUUUCCCCAGCCAUGUAUGAUCUCCCAUCCUGUCCUUUCCAUUUCUUCUCCAAGGUUUGCCACCCACUGCUUCAAAUUUGGGAGAAGAUAUCCAAACAACAAAUUUCUGCAAGUGGUGGAAAAAGUAUAUACAAAUUUAUCCUGGAUUUGUGUCUCUUCCAUGCAAGAAAGGGUAGAAGUAUUCCCAGGGCUGGGCCUGGUUAUUGUAACUGAUGUGUCUGAUGUGACCAGGGCAGCAGACCUGACCAGCUGGGACUGAUCCUGACGUGGGCACCAGGCUUUUCUCCAUCACCUGGUGUUUGAAAUGUCUGCUAUUAUGGAAAGAGCAAAGCUGAGCUCCACAAAGGACAGCCCUUGCAGGGUGAGGGUGAAGGAGGAUGGGGAUCUGGACCUUGACCCUUCCCAUCCAAAACCUCAUCCAUCUACUUAGGAGGAAGGUAAAGCAAUCCUGCAGACAGGGGAGACAGAUGAGAAGUGAGUUUGGAGGCACAGGCUCAGCGUGGAAGCUCCUGGUAUCCCCAGAGUGCGCUGGGACAACCAUGCCUUCCCACAUGCCUGAGAUCCGGAGAAGGAAACUCUGCAUGAUGUAAGCAGCUGCAAGGAGGAGUAAGGAAGGAGCCAGCAACAAGAAUCUGGGUAAAACUUCAUGUGUCCCAUGUCUCUUCAUGGUGGAUACCUGUUUCACACAUGGUGGGUGAGAAAGCUCCCAGGAAAUGAUUUCAGAAUAUGCACAAGGUUAAAAGAGAAUUGUUGUUUUCCUGCUGGCUACAGAGAAACAAGAGUACAACUACACACCUGGCUGCAACCAUUUAAUUACUGGAAAUUUGAAUUACUGGAAAUCUGAAUUUCACUGGAUGCAUUUAAAAAUAAUAGCUGUAUUUGCCAGUGAGGCUUCUGAUACAGUGACAAGAGGAGCUCCUAAGGUAUUUGUGGGAUUUUCACUUCUGGAAUUGGUUUAUCUGGUGUUAAUGAAAAUCUAGGCUAUAUUUACAAGUUCCUUCCAUUGCCAGUCAGAAUUGUUUUCCAUAGAUUCCAGGUCCUGGGGAAGGGCCCAGAGUAAUGAAUAUGGCAUUUCCUGUCUGGGAGUUGGACCUGUGUACCCUAAGUAUGUGUGCGUGUACCCUUACACAAACUAACACAACCCUUCUUGUUUAUCUAGUUCAGCCUCUUGUGAAAUACUUUUACCAGAUUCUGUUCAUUUUCAGCCCAAUUGCUCUGAAUUUAAUUACCUAAUCUUGCUAAAACUGUUUAAAUGCAAUUAGCCAAUACAAUUAUCCAAUAAUAGAAUAAGUCCAAAAAUUAAAAGCAGCAGAAAGAAAAAAGAGGGGAGGACAAAAGAAAACAGAGGCAUUUCCAUCAGAUUUUUUAAAAUUAAUUUUCCUAUUUGGCAGUAUGGAGGGAACAACCCUCUGUAGGUAGAAAAAGAUUGGUUCCAAAGUGGGAAGAAAACAACUCUGCCUUAUCACUAGAAUUCACUCUUUAAAAACAGCUUUCUGUCUGAAAAUGCUAACCCAGGGGAGACUUUGUGCCAUUUUCCCUGAGGUCCUCUUCAGGCCCCUGGAGACAUGAGAGAUGGUGUUGUCUUGUUCCACAUGAGCAGGAACAACAGUGGUCAAUGUCCCAUAAAGAAAAAUGCAUCCAGAACCUGCUGGAGCUGGCUGGUGAUGCUCUCCCGUGAAAGAUGCUGAGUUUUGCAGGAACCUUUUGGGGACGAAGUGGGAACUUUGCUCCAGAUGUGCAGGCACAUGCUGUGUCAUGCACAGCAGCAGCAUCUCAAAAGUUUGCAUCCCCCUUCAGCCAAAAUGGCCCUUCCAAGGACAUCAUAUGGUCAGUGACUCAGCCUUCACUGAGAGGCCCUGAGGUUGAGGGCUCCUGAUCAGCUCAGUCCCUUUCUUUGCCGAUUCCUCACCUUUUUCUGCACCAUGUGAAAAACCGCAUUAAACAUCCAGACGCCAAAUGAACACAGCUCUUCCAGCUCAGUAAUGGAGGUUAUAAGCCAGAUUAGCAAGUCAAGACUUAAUUCUAUGUAUUCACUUUUCAUUCUUUAAUUCUUAAUUAAGCAAGAAACCUUGGCCAUAAAUUAGUAUGAUUAAAGCAAAUUAAGCACUGUAGAGUACACCCUUAACUGUACAGCUCACGUAAUUGUGCAAAUCAUAGGUUGCUCCAUCUGUACUUGUUUGCUUAGCCCACUCUGGACAAAGUCCUAGUAGAUUUUGAGCAUUUAAUUGUCAACUCUUCUUUUUUUACGGUUCACUGCUUGUGAGCCCACAGAUGGGACAGACACCAAGAGACAAAGGGCCAAAUCCUGCCCCAUCCUGUCCCACUGGGAAUGAACCGAAUCAACAAGACAACUGUGCUGCCAAGGGUGGGACACGGCAGUGCCCAGCCACUCAUGCUGCACUUUGGAUUGAGCAGAAGUAGGAGGAAGCAGUGUUUUACCAUGGAGGAAUUUCCUACCUCCUACCUUGCAAGACCCACCACAGUGACCUCCUGUCCCCAUUAGCUUCACCUUCUCAGCUCAGGCUGGAUCUCAACAUUUUUCCUGAACAUUUUCUCUGUUUCCAGCUAGGAGCAAGGGGUGGCCACUCUCCCAUCGCAGAACUCACAGUGAUAGUUCAUCCUUGUCACAUCCUGGAGAACCCUUGCUGCUCCCCUGCCUUUCUGCUCAGGACCAGAUCAUUCAGGGACCAAGUACUACCUGGCCACCACUUGCAUAAAUGUGCUGCAGCACUGGGGGGUAUCUGAACCUUUCCUGGCAGUGCAUACAGUCUCCUGGAGAAGAAAUUAUAAGAACACCAUCAUUCAGUUCUGGGGAGGUAAACCAGAGAGAUGGAAGUGACUUGUACUUCCAUCUCAGCCAUUCAUCUCCAGGUUGCACUGGGCUGAAAAUGCCAUGAGGGUUUUGCAGGCAGAUAGAUCUCUGAUCCUUCAUUAGCUGAGCCCAGCUGAACAUCUCCAUUCCUGCCUUGUUAGGAGCUGUGGCCCCUGCAAAGGUAAGUCAGGAUUCAAGAUGGAUGCAGGGAAGAAAGGGCAGACCUCCAAACACCAGUAUUUUUCUGAGCCCCAAGGGUAUAGGUGAAGAAGUGCAUCUGCUGGCUUGAAGUGGAUAUUGUUACUGGAAUUUGGGAUGCCUUUUGGAUUAAGCAUCAUGCAGCACUCACAAUGCUCCACUUAGCUGACAUGUCUGAGCUCUGCCUGAAAAUCUGAUCUCCCUGUCAUUACUCCUAAAGCUGUCUUUGCCUCUCCUUCUUUCUUUUCUGAUUCUUUUCAUCCUGGCCAGUUGUAACAUGCACCUCCCUGUUAUGUUCUUCAGAUGCGCUGCUCUGUUUUUACUUGAACUAAAUAAUACUCUGUGCUCUUUUCUCCCCCUUUCCCAGCAUUGGCCCUUCCCCCAAAUUCCUGGUGCAGGCAGUUGUUUUCUAUGGUUUUGCUUCAGCUGAGUUUGGUUAUUAAAUGUGUUUUCUUCUUUCCAGGGAGACUCCUAGUCCAGCUUCUGAGCUGCUUUUUCAACACAUGGAGUGUUUCCAUGUCUUUCCUCCACCCCAAGAAGAUUUUGUUGUAUCUUUAAAAAGGUAGCAGUAACCUUGGACGUCUCUAUUUCUGUCCCAUUUUCUAAGGACACGAGGUUUAGUUAAGGGUACUAUGUGUGAACAUAGUUGCUAGUUCCCUCACAACUUGAACCCAUCAACCAAAUUUAAUGAAGGUGGACAGAGGGUCAGAGGGUUCAAAGACUUCAGUUUCUGAAAAGGAAGGUGUCUGCCUAACUGAAAGGCAGAAUAAACACUGAUUGUUGGGCUAAAAACUCAAAAAUAUGAUCUAAGGGUUACAGUACCAAAGGGAAAUUAAGAGAAUGCAUUUAUUUUUCUUUCAAACCUCAUGCUUUGGAAACUAUAAAGUCUCAUGGAGGGACCUGACUCUUGACUUUUAAACCCUUGGGUAUGGAAGUGGUCAUGUUGGAGUCUCCUUGCAGCCAGGAGUAGUUAAUAGACCAUCUCAACCCCCGGAGGGUAGAGCCUCCUCCUUCCUGCUGGUUCCCUGCCAUGCCAUUCCCAGAGACAGGAAAAUGCUCCCAGCAUGGAGCUGUGCUAUUGUGUCCAAAUAUGUGAUACAGGAGCCAGGGGGGACAGCAUGGAACAAAGCAGAUGAAAGAGCUGGGUGAACCAGGUGAUCCUGGGCAUGUCUCUUUACCUACCUGUCUCUACUUCUUUACUCAUUCUGCAGAAAUCCUUGAUGGGGCGGGGGUUUCCCUGAUGUGUUUGUACAGCACAUACUACUACAGGCACCAGGCUGAGCGUGCAGGGAGGGAGUGCACCAGACCCUAAAACAAAAUAGUUAUGGGCACAGCAAUCACACAGGAUCACCUUGGAGAGCAAAGGGGACAGCCUGUCUUGGAGGAGUCAUCGCUCCAGGGCUUUGUUCCUUGGAUGGGUUCACCUUGGCUAGGGUUUGUCUCAUAGGCACUCAUCCCGAACAACACCGAGGAGAUAAAAAGCUAAGGCGGGGUAAGAGAAAGAAACGCAAGAGCAGGCAGGAAAGGA